AACCCAUUUGGGAUUAUUUUGUUCCCUUGGUCAUUUCUCUGAGGAUUACUUCACUCUCUCCAUCUUCCCGUGUGGCUGGCAGCAUGGACUUUUCUAAAAACCCCUGUUUUGAAAGUUGCUCACAUCGCUGGAGUCUUCAUUGGGAGGUCACAGCAUGUGAUGGGGAAGGAAGGGGACAGGAACAAGCAAGUGUUGCUUUGGCAUGUCACCUCAUGAAUUUGCUGUCUUCAUCCAUUAACAAGGUCAAAACUGGAGCAAAUUCCUUGCUGGUCAGCCUUGGCCCUGAUCGGCUUGGGCGCCUCUGCCCAGUUCCUUCCAGUUUUCCUGACCACCUCCCAGGCGGUGAGUGGGGGAGGGGUCUUGAGGCUGGAGGUAAACUCUAGCGGCACAUGGGCUCCUGGAUAAUGAGCACAUCCUUCACAGCUUACCCUUUCCUGAUGACUAUGAACAGUAAUAAAAAUGUGAGCAAACAGGGAGAGUUUAGUGUG
rnacentral:lncRNA from 1 species